rnacentral:lncRNA from 1 species
GGAGACCACAGUGCUUCUAUCAGACUUCCUAUCCUCAGACAAGCUAAUUCAUGCAAGCCAGGGUGAAGAGUUCAGACCUCUGCCCCCUACUCCACCCUAAUGACCAGUCUUGAAUCUGGAUGUCCUCAGGAAGGCCUAGCUGGAGGGACCACACACAACCUUGGUUAAGUUGGCUGCAUUCUGCUGAGGCAGGUUCAGCUCUAAGCAGCAGCUGCCAACCUUCCUCACAAUUAAGGAGUGAAGAGAGGCCUGUAAUGCACCAUAGCAUCAACUUCUAGCUCCAACUCCUUCGCCUAAAAUCUGGAAUCACCAUCUGGUUGCUGAAGGACAAAUGUCUGAGUAUAUCUGCCCUUCUUGAUCAACUAAUUGAAAAAAUCCUCAGGGCACACAGUGUUCAGAGCCCAUCUCAUCAAUCAGCCCUUAGCUGAGAAGUGUUUCAGAAAUAAGAACACCCUAAAGGGAG